UGCAGUCGAGCGGACAGAAGGGAGCUUGCUCCCGGAUGUUAGCGGCGGACGGGUGAGUAACACGUGGGUAACCUGCCUGUAAGACUGGGAUAACUCCGGGAAACCGGAGCUAAUACCGGAUAGUUCCUUGAACCGCAUGGUUCAAGGAUGAAAGACGGUUUCGGCUGUCACUUACAGAUGGACCCGCGGCGCAUUAGCUAGUUGGUGAGGUAACGGCUCACCAAGGCGACGAUGCGUAGCCGACCUGAGAGGGUGAUCGGCCACACUGGGACUGAGACACGGCCCAGACUCCUACGGGAGGCAGCAGUAGGGAAUCUUCCGCAAUGGACGAAAGUCUGACGGAGCAACGCCGCGUGAGUGAUGAAGGUUUUCGGAUCGUAAAGCUCUGUUGUUAGGGAAGAACAAGUGCAAGAGUAACUGCUUGCACCUUGACGGUACCUAACCAGAAAGCCACGGCUAACUACGUGCCAGCAGCCGCGGUAAUACGUAGGUGGCAAGCGUUGUCCGGAAUUAUUGGGCGUAAAGGGCUCGCAGGCGGUUUCUUAAGUCUGAUGUGAAAGCCCCCGGCUCAACCGGGGAGGGUCAUUGGAAACUGGGAAACUUGAGUGCAGAAGAGGAGAGUGGAAUUCCACGUGUAGCGGUGAAAUGCGUAGAGAUGUGGAGGAACACCAGUGGCGAAGGCGACUCUCUGGUCUGUAACUGACGCUGAGGAGCGAAAGCGUGGGGAGCGAACAGGAUUAGAUACCCUGGUAGUCCACGCCGUAAACGAUGAGUGCUAAGUGUUAGGGGGUUUCCGCCCCUUAGUGCUGCAGCUAACGCAUUAAGCACUCCGCCUGGGGGAGUACGGUCGCAAGACUGAAACUCAAAGGAAUUGACGGGGGGCCCGCACAAGCGGUGGAGCAUGUGGUUUAAUUC
rnacentral:rRNA from 2 species